rnacentral:snoRNA from 1 species
AUCAUCAGUAGUGGUUAAUACUAUCUCAAGAUAAUAUUAAUUACCAAAAUUUUAUAGGAACCGAAUGUUUCGAUGAUCCGUGUAUUUAAAGAUGGAGUUUGUGGCCACACGUACGCGAGUGCGUGUGGUGGGGCUCUGUCGAAGUUGAUACUGAUACGGGAUUCAUUGAUUCAAGUCAUAACCCAUAGCUGAGUGCACUCUGACCGCUCCCAAACAGGGCGGCAACAGAGUACAUUUCGUUUCCGGUUUCUUAGAUCAAAUCCACUGCUAUGGGGAGGUGCGCAUACGACCCGGUAAAAUGGGCCUGUGCGUAAGAGCAUGGCUUCCAGAGGAACGUGUAGUGCGUUCUGAGAGUUUGGAAUUGUCUGUUGUGCCUCUCUCCAUGCCAGAACAUGU